UGUUAUCCCUAGGUCUAUUCUAUUUUGAAUAACGAUAUAUAUUUUUAAACAUUGAUAGUGUUUAUAUGAUUAUAUUUUGCUUGACCAAUGUUUUAAUUAUAAUUUCGUAUAUUGCAGCUGUGUCAAAAGUGUAUGCGCCAAGAAGCUCGAUUUCUUAAAUUAAAGUCACUAUAUGCCAGCAAAGUUGAAGUGCAGGACUAUAAGCUUCUUUGCUUGGCUGCUGUUGAAGUAAGAGAUCAAAAGUUCACUUUAGUUGGAAUUCUUGGUAGCUGGUGGGACUUUGCCACAUUUACAAUUUUGGGAAGCAUUCUCUUUUGUCAGAAACAGAAUUGAAAGUAUCUUGGUGAGAACAACUUAACCAGGGAGUUGUUUUGCCCCCUUCUGGAGUUUCAACUAAACCAUUGAAGAAGAAAUGGGAGAGAGGAAGAAUAGAUGAACGAUGAAAUAGACUCAGUUAAAUAGUGUUAAACACG